CAGGAUUGAAUCUGAGUCACUGGAGCCGGGAGGCAGCAGCUCUACUAGCUGUGUCGCCCAUUUGUAUCACUCCUGCCAGAAUGAUUAACAAGCAAUUAGCUUGCAGCCCCAGGAUUAAGUCUCCUCCGGCAUCAUCUGUCCGUCUUACCAACUCAUCAAUAUCGUUCCAUGGCUGAAGACCCCCUUCCUCACGGUCAACUCCAUCACCAACUUUCAGAUCCUCACGACCCGCUGAAUUCCUCCAGCAGAUUUUUUUGUUUCUCCCCAUAACAUUGGACUCCACUAGUUUGAAGAACAUUAUUGUCAAGAUGGCGCCAGAGCGUGGUGACACGUUGCAAGCUGCUCUCUA